UUGGCUCAUCGUCAGUGAAGGUGCUUCCAUAUUUCCUGCGGUCUGAUCGCGUUGUCUUUGCGUUCCUUGCGUUUGUGAGUUCUUUUGAAAGCUUUUUACCUAUUUUUGUUCUUCACCGCCUCCAACUCUUGGUGACAACGGAAUCAAAGUGAUGAUCGUUUUGUGGAUGACGCCAUUCUCACUUACAUGGACUUGUUCGUCUACAGACGAUACUGCAGAGUGCCGGCGCUUGCAGCGAAGGAGAACCACGUAGGAGAAAUUUGACAUCCAGCCGCAGGCCAUACAACGCUUCACGAAGACGAAAAUUUACAGCACUGAUUGGUUGAAUUGGUUGGAAUACUUGCAGCGUCAUUGGUAACACACGGACGCGCAUAACACCACCCAGUGGAUGCAAUCAUCUUACAGGAGCACCAUGAUGGCCGCAAUAGCAGCAGUCCGGCCACGGCGUUUUUAAACGGGGUUGGCAGUUGUUAGUUCCAGAACACCUGCAAGAGAAAGUCAUUUUUGAUGCCACUUGCACAUUUAUAUUAAAUGCGAAGCAUUUCUUAGUGAACCAAAUGCCCUUUGAGCGUUUCUUUCUAUCUAUCUAUCUAUCUAUCUAUCUAUCUAUCUAUCUAUCUAUCUAUCUAUCUAUCUAUCUAUCUAUCUAUCUAUCUAUCUAUCUAUCUAUCUAUC